GACGAACGCUGGCGGCGUGCUUAACACAUGCAAGUCGAACGGAAAGGCCCUGCUUUUGUGGGGUGCUCGAGUGGCGAACGGGUGAGUAACACGUGAGUAACCUGCCCUUGACUUUGGGAUAACUUCAGGAAACUGGGGCUAAUACCGGAUAGGAGCUCCUGCUGCAUGGUGGGGGUUGGAAAGUUUCGGCGGUUGGGGAUGGACUCGCGGCUUAUCAGCUUGUUGGUGGGGUAGUGGCUGACCAAGGCUUUGACGGGUAGCCGGCCUGCGAGGGUGACCGGCCACCUUGGGACUGAGAUACGGCCCAGAGUGCUACGGGAGGCAGCAGGGGGGAAUAUUGCACAAUGGGCGGAAGCCUGAUGCAGCAACGCCGCGUGCGGGAUGACGGCCUUCGGGUUGUAAACCGCUUUCGCCUGUGACGCAGCGUGAGUGACGGUAAUGGGUAAAGAAGCACCGGCUAACUACGUG
rnacentral:rRNA from 1 species